rnacentral:tRNA from 1 species
GCCCCCAUCGUCUAGCCAGGCCCAGGACGUCGGCCUUUCAAGCCGGUAACGCGGGUUCGAAUCCCGCUGGGGGCACCA